rnacentral:rRNA from 1 species
GACGAACGCUGGCGGCGUGCUUAACACAUGCAAGUCGAACGGAAAGGCCCUGCUUUUGUGGGGUGCUCGAGUGGCGAACGGGUGAGUAACACGUGAGUAACCUGCCCUUGACUUUGGGAUAACUUCAGGAAACUGGGGCUAAUACCGGAUAGGAGCUCCUGCUGCAUGGUGGGGGUUGGAAAGUUUCGGCGGUUGGGGAUGGACUCGCGGCUUAUCAGCUUGUUGGUGGGGUAGUGGCUUACCAAGGCUUUGACGGGUAGCCGGCCUGAGAGGGUGACCGGCCACAUUGGGACUGAGAUAGGGCCCAGACUCCUAUGGGAGGCAGUAGUGGGAAAUAUUGCACAAUGGGCGGAAGCCUGAUGCAGCAACGCCGCGUGCGGGAUGACGGCCUUCGGGUUGUAAACCGCUUUCGCCUGUGACGAAGCGUGAGUGACGGUAAUGGGUAAAGAAGCACCGGCUAACUACGUG